rnacentral:rRNA from 1 species
CACCUUUGACAUGUACGGAAUCCUUUAGAGAUAGAGGAGUGCUCGAAAGAGAGCCGUAACACAGGUGCUGCAUGGCUGUCGUCAGCUCGUGUCGUGAGAUGUUGGGUUAAGUCCCGCAACGAGCGCAACCCUUGUCAUUAGUUGCUACAUUUAGUUGGGCACUCUAAUGAGACUGCCGGUGACAAACCGGAGGAAGGUGGGGAUGACGUCAAGUCCUCAUGGCCCUUAUAGGUGGGGCUACACACGUCAUACAAUGGAUGGUACAAAGGGUCGCCAACCCGCGAGGGGGAGCCAAUCCCAUAAAGCCAUUCGUAGUCCGGAUCGUAGUCUGCAACUCGACUACGUGAAGUCGGAAUCGCUAGUAAUCGUGGAUCAGAAUGUCACGGUGAACACGUUCC